CAAUGUCCCCAACUGUCCCCAACUGUCCCCAGGUGUCCCCAGGUGUCCUCUGGGGUGUCCCCGGAUGUCCCCAGGUGUCCCAACUGUCCCCAGGUGUCCCAGGUGUCCCCAGGGUGUCCCCAGCUGUCCCCAGGGAUGUCCUCAGGUGUCCCCAAGGUGUCCGCAGGUGUCACCAAGUGUCCCUCAGGGAUGUCCCCCAGGUGUCCCCAAGGUGUCCCCAGGGGUGUCCAAGGAUGUCCACGGUGUCCCCACGGUGUCCCCAAGUGUCCCCUAGGGAUGUCCCCCAAAUGUCCCCCGGUGUCCCUCAGUGUCCCCAGGGAUGUCCUCAGCUGUCCCCAGGGGUGUCCAAGGAUGUCCCCAGGUGUCCUCAAGAUGUUCCCAAGGUGUCCCUGGAUGUCCCCAGGGAUGUCCCCGGUGUCCCCAAGGUGUCCCCAGGGAUGUCCCCAGCUGUGCCAGCUGUGUCCCCCCAGUUGCCCACGGUGUCUCCCAGGUGUCCCCCAGGUGUGCCCCAGAUAUGCCCCAGGUGUGUGCCCAGGUGUGUGCCAGGUGUGUGCCAGGAGCGCUGGGUCUGUGCCAGGAGUGCUGGGUGUGUGCCCAGGUGUGCCAGGUACCCCUCCAGGUGUGCCCAGUUGUGUCCCAGAUGUGUGCCAGGCGUGCCCGAGUGCGUGCCCAGAUGUGCCGGCUGUGCCCAGGUGUGCCCAGAUGUGUGCCAGGUAUGCUCAGGUGUGCUAGGUGUGUGCCAGGUGUGCCCAGGUACCCCCCCAGGUGAGCCAGGUGUGAGCCAGGUGUGCCCGGGUGUGCCCGGGUGUGUGCCAGGUGUCUCACCUGGCGUUCCCUCGUGUGCCCAGGUGCCCCUCAGGCGUGCCCAGGCCUGUGCCCAGGUGUGCUCUAGGUGUGCGCCAGAAGUGUGCCAGGUGUCCCCAGGUGUGCCCAGGUGUGCCAGAGGUGUGCCAGGUGCCCCUCCAGGUGUGCCCAGGUGUGCCCAGGUGUGCCAGAGGUGUGCCAGGUGUCCCCCCAGGUGUGCCCAGGUGUGUUCCAGAUGUCCCCAGGUCCCCUCCAGCUGUGUCCCCAGGUGUGCCCAGGUACCCCCCCAGGUGUGCCCAGCUAUGCCCAGGUGUGUUCCAGAUGUCCCCAGGUGUGCCAGGCACGCCCCAGGAGUGCUCAGGUGUGUCCCCAGAUGUGCCCAAGGGUAUGCCGCGUGUGUGCCACGUGUGUGCCCAGGUGUGUGCCAGGUGUGCCCAGGUGUGUGCUCAGAGAUGCCCCAGGGGUGCCCCAGGUGUGCCAGGUGUGUGCCAGGUGUGUCCCCAGUUGUGCCAGGCAUACCCAGGCAUGCCUAGGUGUGCCAGGUGUUUCCCAAGGUGUGCCAGGUGUGCCCAGGUGUGUGCCAGGUGUGUCCCCAGUUGUGCCAGGUGUGUGCCGGGUGUGCCCAGGUGUGUGCCCAGGUGUGUGCCAGGUGUGCCAGGUGUCCCCCCCAGGUGUGCCAGGUGUCCCUAGGGAUGUCCCCAGGUGUGCCCGGUUGUGCCCAGGUGUGCCAGGUGCCCCAGGUGUGUGCCAGGUGUGCCAGGCAUGCCCAGGU